rnacentral:ncRNA from 1 species
UCUGAAAAGGGCAAACCUGCCGUAAGGCAGGGACGCAAAACUGCGGAUCUCCCUACCGGAGAUAGCCGAGUUGCCAGAG